rnacentral:rRNA from 1 species
GACGAACGCUGGCGGCGUGCUUAACACAUGCAAGUCGAACGGAAAGGCCCUGCUUCUGUGGGGUGCUCGAGUGGCGAACGGGUGAGUAACACGUGAGUAACCUGCCCUUGACUUUGGGAUAACUUCAGGCAACUGGGGCUAAUACCGGACAGGAACUCCUGCUGCACGGUGGGGGCUGGAAAGUUUCGGCGGUCGGGGGUGGCCUCGCGGCUUAUCAGCUUGUUGGUGGGGUAGUGGCUUACCAAGGCCUUGCCGGGUAGCCGGCCUGGGAGGGUGACCGGGCACAUUGGGACUGAGGUACGGAGCAGACGCCUACGGGAGGCAGCAGUGGAGAGUAUUGCAGAGUGGGCGGAAGCGAGAUGCGGCGAUGCCGCGGUCGGGAUGACGGGCUUCGGGUUGAAAACCGCUUUCGCCGGAGACGAAGCGUGAGUGACGGUAAUGGGUAAGGAAGCACCGGCUAACUACGUG